rnacentral:rRNA from 1 species
AACGAACGCUGGCGGCAGGCUUAACACAUGCAAGUCGAGCGGGCUCUUCGGAGCUAGUGGCAGACGGGUGAGUAACGCGUGGGAACCUACCUAUAAGUACGGAACAACACAGAGAAAUUUGUGCUAAUACCGUAUGUGCUCUUUGGAGUAAAGAUUUAUCGCUUAUAGAUGGGCCCGCGUUAGAUUAGCUAGUUGGUGAGGUAAUGGCUCACCAAGGCGACGAUCUAUAGCUGGUCUGAGAGGAUGAUCAGCCACACUGGGACUGAGACACGGCCCAG